GAGUUUGAUCGUGGCUCAGAUUGAACGCUGGCGGCAUGCCUUACACAUGCAAGUCGAACGGCAGCACGGGAGCUUGCUCCUGGUGGCGAGUGGCGAACGGGUGAGUAAUGCAUCGGAACGUAUCCUGGAGUGGGGGAUAACGUAGCGAAAGUUACGCUAAUACCGCAUAUUCUGUGAGCAGGAAAGCGGGGGACCUUCGGGCCUCGCGCUCUUGGAGCGGCCGAUGUCGGAUUAGCUAGUUGGUGAGGUAAAGGCUCACCAAGGCGACGAUCCGUAGCAGGUCUGAGAGGAUGAUCUGCCACACUGGAACUGAGACACGGUCCACGAC
rnacentral:rRNA from 1 species